UACGUAGGGGGCGAGCGUUGUCCGGAAUGAUUGGGCGUAAAGGGCGCGUAGGCGGCCUUUUAAGUCUGAAGUGAAAGUCCUGGUUUUAAGUUGGGAAUUGCUUUGGAUACUGGAAGGCUUGAGUGCAGGAGAGGUAAGUGGAAUUCCCAGUGUAGCGGUGAAAUGCGUAGAGAUUGGGAGGAACACCAGUGGCGAAGGCGACUUACUGGACUGUAACUGACGCUGAGGCGCGAAAGUGUGGGGAGCAAAC
rnacentral:rRNA from 1 species